GACGAACGCUGGCGGCGUGCCUAAUACAUGCAAGUAGAACGCUGAAGAGAGGAGCUUGCUCUUCUUGGAUGAGUUGCGAACGGGUGAGUAACGCGUAGGUAACCUGCCUUGUAGCGGGGGAUAACUAUUGGAAACGAUAGCUAAUACCGCAUAACAAUGGAUGACUCAUGUCAUUUAUUUGAAAGGGGCAAAUGCUCCACUACAAGAUGGACCUGCGUUGUAUUAGCUAGUAGGUGAGGUAACGGCUCACCUAGGCGACGAUACAUAGCCGACCUGAGAGGGGGAUCGGCCACACUGGGACUGAAACACGGCCCAGACUCCUACGGGAGGCAGCAGUAGGGAAUCUUCGGCAAUGGGGGCAACCCUGACCGAGCAACGCCGCGUGAGUGAAGAAGGUUUUCGGAUCGUAAAGCUCUGUUGUAAGUCAAGAACGAGUGCGAGAGUGGAAAGUUCACACUGUGACGGUAGCUUACCAGAAAGGGACGGCUAACUACGUGCCAGCCGCCGCAGUAA
rnacentral:rRNA from 1 species